GGCCCGGUAGCGAAUGGUCCACGCCUACUUCUAAUGUGUAUUGUUCCAUCAAACUUCCAACGCAGGUAGGAAUCGCUCGUUCGAAUCGAGCCUGGGCCU